UGGGGAAUUUUGGACAAUUGACGCAAGUCUGAUCCAGCCAUGCCGCGUGCGGGAAGAAGGUCUUCGGGUUGUAAACCGCUUUUGUCAGGGAAGAAACGAGUUUCUCUAAUACAGAGACAUAAUGACGGUACCUGAAGAAUAAGCACCUGCUAACUACGUGCCAGCAGCCGCGGUAAUACGUAGGGUGCAAGCGUUCAUCGGAAUUACUGGGCGUAAAGCGUGCGCAGGCGGUUAUGCAAGACAGAGGUGAAAUCCCCGUGCUCAACCUGGGAACUGCCUUUGUGACUGCAUAACUAGAGUACAGUAGAGGGGGAAGGAAUUCCGCGUGUAGCAGUGAAAUGCGUAGAUAUGCGGAAGAAAACAGAUGGAGGAGGCAAUCCCCUGGACCUGUACUGACGCUCAUGAAAGAAAGCGUGGGGAGCAAACA
rnacentral:rRNA from 1 species